GACGGGGGAUGCAAGUGUUAUCCGGAAUAAUUGGGCGUAAAGCGUCUGUAGGUGGUUUACCAAGUCUGUUGUUAAAAAUCAGGGCUUAACCCUGAUCCGGUAACAGAAACUAGUAGGCUGGAGUACGGUAGGGGCAGAGGGAAUUCUCGGUGUAGUGGUGAAAUACGUAGAUAUCGAGAAGAACACCAAUAGCGAAAGCACUCUGCUGGGCCGAAACUGACAUUGAGAGACGAAAGCUAGGGGAGCGAAAGGG
rnacentral:rRNA from 1 species